AGUUCUAUACUUUAACAAAAAGGUUUGAUUUGCAAGUCAACUAUUGAGAUACCGCUCUAGAACU
rnacentral:tRNA from 1 species